GACGAACGCUGGCGGCGUGCUUAACACAUGCAAGUCGAACGGAAAGGCCCUGCUUUUGUGGGGUGCUCGAGUGGCGAACGGGUGAGUAACACGUGAGUAACCUGCCCUUGACUUUGGGAUAACUUCAGGAAACUGGGGCUAAUACCGGAUAGGAGCUCCUGCUGCAUGGUGGGGGUUGGAAAGUUUCGGCGGUUGGGAUGGACUCGCGGCUUAUCAGCUUGUUGGUGGGGUAGUGGCUUACCAAGGCUUUGACGGGUAGCCGGCCUGAGAGGGAGACCGGCCACAUUGGGACUGAGAUACGGCCCAGACUCCUACGGGAGGCAGCAGUGGGGAAUAUUGCACAAUGGGCGGAAGCCUGAUGCAGCAACGCCGCGUGCGGGAUGACGGCCUUCGGGUUGUAAACCGCUUUCGCCUGUGACGAAGCGUGAGUGACGGUAAUGGGUAAAGAAGCACCGGCUAACUACGUG
rnacentral:rRNA from 1 species